GGCGGCGUGCUUAACACAUGCAAGUCGAACGAUGAACCGGUUCGGCCGGGGAUUAGUGGCGAACGGGUGAGUAACACGUGGGUGAUCUGCCCUGCACUCUGGGACAAGCCCUGGAAACGGGGUCUAAUACCGGAUAUGACCUGCCCUUCGCAUGGGGGUGGGUGGAAAGCUCCGGCGGUGCAGGAUGAGCCCGCGGCCUAUCAGCUUGUUGGUGAGGUAAUGGCUCACCAAGGCGACGACGGGUAGCCGGCCUGAGAGGGCGACCGGCCACACUGGGACUGAGACACGGCCCAGACUCCUACGGGAGGCAGCAGUGGGGAAUAUUGCACAAUGGGCGAAAGCCUGAUGCAGCGACGCCGCGUGAGGGAUGACGGCCUUCGGGUUGUAAACCUCUUUCAGCAGGGAAGAAGCGAGAGUGACGGUACCUGCAGAAGAAGCGCCGGCUAACUACGUGCCAGCAGCCGCGGUAAUACGUAGGGCGCGAGCGUUGUCCGGAAUUAUUGGGCGUAAAGAGCUCGUAGGCGGCUUGUCGCGUCGGUUGUGAAAGCCCGGGGCUUAACCCCGGGUCUGCAGUCGAUACGGGCAGGCUAGAGUUCGGUAGGGGAGAUCGGAAUUCCUGGUGUAGCGGUGAAAUGCGCAGAUAUCAGGAGGAACACCGGUGGCGAAGGCGGAUCUCUGGGCCGAUACUGACGCUGAGGAGCGAAAGCGUGGGGAGCGAACAGGAUUAGAUACCCUGGUAGUCCACGCCGUAAACGUUGGGAACUAGGUGUGGGCGACAUUCCACGUCGUCCGUGCCGCAGCUAACGCAUUAAGUUCCCCGCCUGGGGAGUACGGCCGC
rnacentral:rRNA from 1 species